UUAAAGUUGUUGCAGUUAAAAAGCUCGUAGUUGAACCUUGGGCCUGGCUGGCCGGUCCGCCUCACCGCGUGUACUGGUCCGGCCGGGCCUUUCCUUCUGGGGAACCUCAUGCCCUUCACUGGGCGUGUCGGGGAACCAGGACUUUUACUUUGAAAAAAUUAGAGUGUUCAAAGCAGGCCUUUGCUCGAAUACAUUAGCAUGGAAUAAUA
rnacentral:rRNA from 1 species